GCCAGCCGCCACAAACCCGUAGAUCCGAACUUGUGGUGACUGGCCUCACAAGCUCGUGUCUAUAGGUCUGUGU
ensembl:miRNA MIR99A microRNA 100